CUCAUCCGAUCUUCACAAUAUCCUGGGUAGCCUUAUGUUGUGAGGUGGAAGUCUCUACUCUUCUGUGGCUGCUGUGGCCAAGACUUCCAAUACUGUGUUAGCAUCCUCGCCUUGUUCCUGAUGUUAAGCAGGAAGCUUUUCCCUGUUGAGCAUGAUGCUAGCUGUGCACUGGUCAUACGUGGCCUUACAUUUUGAGAUUUUAUUUAUUUAGUCGUGAGAGAGGCAGACACACAGGCAGAGGGAGAAGCAGGCUCCAAGCAGGGAGCCCAACAAGGGACUUGAUCCCAGGACCUCGACCCAGGCCACCUGCGUCUUCUUGAAUGGCAUUUUUAGUAAGCAAAGAAUGCUAGGUAGGCUCUUGUUAUCUAUCUGUGUAUCUAUCUAUCUAUCUAUCUAUCUAUCUAUCUAUCUAUCAUCUAUCUAUUUAUAUUUCAGUAUAGUGAAAGAUGAUGAAAUGAUUAUUCCUAAAAUUUCUAGUUAGAGGUCAGCUGUCAGGAUCUCUGAUUUGAAGUAAUCUUUCAAAGCAUGUUUUUUUCCUCUGGCUCUUUUAAAGACUUCAAUACAUACAUAACUUUUUUUCUUUUAAAUAAGUUCUGUUUACUUCUUUUAAAAAUGUUCGGCCCAAGUGUGGCAGGAUACAAAAUCAAUGCCCAGAAUUCAGUGGCAUUUCUGUACACUAACAAUGAGACU